UACGUAGGGGGCGAGCGUUAUCCAGAUUUACUGGGCGUAAAGCGCGUGUAGGCGGCUGGUUAAGUCUGCUGUGAAAUCCCCGGGCUCAACCUGGGAAUGGCAGUGGAUACUGGCAAGCUAGAGUGCGGUAGAGGGUAGUGGAAUUCCCGGUGUAGCAGUGAAAUGCGUAGAGAUCGGGAGGAACACCAGUGGCGAAGGCGGCUACCUGGACCAGCACUGACACUGAAGCACGAAAGCGUGGGGAGCAAACAGG
rnacentral:rRNA from 1 species